AUUGAACGCUGGCGGCAUACCUUACACAUGCAAGUCGAACGGCAGCACGGGUGCUUGCACCUGGUGGCGAGUGGCGAACGGGUGAGUAAUGCAUCGGAACGUGCCCUGGAGUGGGGGAUAACGUAGCGAAAGUUACGCUAAUACCGCAUAUUCUGUGAGCAGGAAAGCAGGGGAUCGCAAGACCUUGCGCUUUGGGAGCGGCCGAUGUCGGAUUAGCUAGUUGGUGAGGUAAAGGCUCACCAAGGCGACGAUCCGUAGCGGGUCUGAGAGGAUGAUCCGCCACACUGGGACUGAGACACGGCCCAGACUCCUGCGGGAGGCAGCAGUGGGGAAUUUUGGACAAUGGGCGCAAGCCUGAUUCAGCCAUGCCGCGUGAGUGAAGAAGGCCUUCGGGUUGUAAAGCUCUUUCGGCGGGGAAGAAAUGGCUUCGGUUAAUACCCGGAGUAGAUGACGGUACCCGCAUAAGAAGCACCGGCUAACUACGUGCCAGCCGCCGCCGUAAGAC
rnacentral:rRNA from 1 species